UUGAUUAGUUUUUCUUCUCUAAAUUUGUCUACUGAUUUGGAUCCUUUAGUGUAUAUAUAGUUAGCCAAUUUUAGUGGCAGAAGGAACAAUUGUGUGGCUUGACAACAAGUACAGAGUGUUGUUUGUAUCCCAUCUCACAUACGCUCUCAAUUUUUUCAGCUCCAAAGCCCAGGCGACACCGUUUAAGUCUUGCCCACAUUCUCAAGAUUUUACUCUGUAUUUUAAUAAACUUUCGUCACCCUUACUUAUAUAUAUAAGAUAAAUGCAACUUUGGAUGCUGACAAAAAGAAAAGAAAAUGCCAAGUGC
rnacentral:lncRNA from 1 species